rnacentral:rRNA from 1 species
CCAGACUCCUACGGGAGGCAGCAGUGGGGAAUAUUGCACAAUGGGGGGAACCCUGAUGCAGCGACGCCGCGUGGGUGAAGAAGUCAUUCGUGACGUAAAGCCCUAUCAGCAGGGAAGAUAAUGACGGUACUUGAGGAGGAAGCCCCGGCUAACUACGUGCCAGCAGCCGCGGUAAUACGUAGGGGGCUAGCGUUAUCCGGAAUUACUGGGCGUAAAGGGUGCGUAGGUGGUUUCUUAAGUCAGAGGUGAAAGGCUACGGCUCAACCGUAGUAAGCCUUUGAAACUGGGGAACUUGAGUGCAGGAGAGGAGAGUGGAAUUCCUAGUGUAGCGGUGAAAUGCGUAGAUAUUAGGAGGAACACCAGCGGCGAAGGCGGCUUACUGGACGGUAACUGACGUUGAGGCUCGAAAGCGUGGGGAGCAAACAGGAUUAGAUACCCCGGUACG